rnacentral:rRNA from 1 species
GAUGAACGCUGGCGGCGUGCCUAAUACAUGCAAGUCGAGCGAACGGACGAGAAGCUUGCUUCUCUGAUGUUAGCGGCGGACGGGCGAGUAACACGUGGAUAACCUACCUAUAUGACUGGGAUAACUUCGGGAAACCGGAGCUAAUACCGGAUAAAAUUUUGAACCGCAUGGUUCAAAAGUGAAAGACGGUCUUGCUGUCACUUAUAGAUGGAUCCGCGCUGCAUUAGCUAGUUGGUAAGGUAACGGGUUACCAAGGCAACGAUGCAUAGCCGACCUGAGAGGGUGAUCGGCCACACUGGAACGGAGACACGGUCCAUACUCCUACGGGAGGCAGCAGUAGGGAAUCGUCCGCAAUGGGCGAAAGCCUGACGGAGCAACGCCGCGUGAGUGAUGAAGGUCUUCGGAUCGUAAAACUCUGUUAUUAGGGAAGAACAUAUGUGUAAGUAACUGUGCACAUCUUGACGGUACCUAAUCAGAAAGCCACGGCUAACUACGUG